GAUGAACGCUGGCGGCGUGCCUAAUACAUGCAAGUCGAGCGAACAGACGAGGAGCUUGCUCCUCUGACGUUAGCCGCGGACGGGUGAGAAACACGUGGAACACCUACUUAUAAUACGGGUAACACUUCGGGAAACGGGAGCAUAUACCGUAUAAGCUAUUGAACCGCAGGGUUCAAUAGUGAAAGUCGGUGUUGCUGGCACUUAUAGCGGGAUCCGCGCCGCAUUAGCUAGUUGGUAAGUUAACGGCUUAUCACGGGAACGAGGCGUAACCGACCGGAGGGAGUGGUCGGCCACACGGGAAGGUGGACACGGUCAAGACUCCUACGGGAGGCAGCAGUAGGGUAUCUUCCGCAAUGGGCGAGAGCAUUGCGGAGCAACGCCGCGUGAGUGAUAGAGGUCUUCGGAUCGUAAAACUCUGUUAUUAGGGAAGAACAAAUGUGUAAGUAACUAUGCACGUCUUGACGGUAACUAAUCAGAAAGCAACGGCUAACUACGUG
rnacentral:rRNA from 1 species